rnacentral:rRNA from 1 species
GAUGAACGCUGGCGGCGUGCCUAAUACAUGCAAGUCGAGCGAACAGACGAGGAGCUUGCUCCUCUGACGUUAGCGGCGGACGGGUGAGUAACACGUGGAUAACCUACCUAUAAGACUGGGAUAACUUCGGGAAACCGGAGCUAAUACCGGAUAAUAUAUUGAACCGCAUGGUUCAAUAGUGAAAGACGGUUUUGCUGUCACUUAUAGAUGGAUCCGCGCCGCAUUAGCUAGUUGGUAAGGUAACGGCUUACCAAGGCAACGAUGCGUAGCCGACCUGAGAGAGGGAUCGGCCACACUGGAACUGAGACACGGACCAGACUCCUACGGGAGGCAGCAGUAGGGAAUCUUACGCAAUAGUCGAAAGCCUGACGGAGCAACGCCGCGUGAGUGAUGAAGGUCUUCUGAUCGUAAAGCUCUGUUAUUAGGUAAGAACAAAUGUGUAAGUAACUAUGCACGUCUUGACGGUACCUAAUCAGAAAGCCACGGCUAACUACGUG